rnacentral:lncRNA from 1 species
GAUUAAUAAUUCGAAUAUCGCAUGCUAUUGGAUAGAAGAAUUAAAACGAUGUUCAUUUUAUUCAAUGGAAUUUCAAGUUAUUAAAUGAGGAGCACUGUUUAUCUGAACUUGUAUAGGAACGCUCGUUGAUCUAGGACGUAUGCAAGUGGUUGCAGGCUAAAGGGGGAGGUUUCCUUCGUGGAAGGUGGAAAUUCGCGGAGGUGUCUGCAUCCCGAGCCCAGGUCAUUUCAGGUCGAAAGUUCGUCGGGCCAUACAUCUCUCUAUACAUAGAAGCGAUUUACCUCUCUUCCCCCUUGAUGCUUCCACCCUUUCCUCUCUUUCUCGCGCAUCCUGUCCCGUGGACUGACAGCUGAAGCCAGAACUGACUGAAAUAUUCAUCGGCACAAGGCGAACGAGGCGCGACUGAACGUCGAUCUGUCAACCUCUUUGACUAUAUAAAUAUGGACUGCCAUCGAGCUUUUGCGCAUUAUAUAGAUUUAUAACAGAAAAAGAAAUAUUUUCAACAUUUUACGAUUAUCAGUGGAAUCAGUGAUUUUAACAGGAAUUAAAAUUAGGAUCAACGUUACUUUGAAUUAGAAAAAAAGAUUUUUAUUUCUUCCUUCAGUGAUUUUUU